GUUAACAUUUCUGGAAGAGAGCCAUCCCUUGACAGUUUGACCAAAAUUAAAAAAUAAUUUUUCUUUAAAGUGCUGUCAUGGAGUUGCUCUCUUCAAGUGGUUAACA
rfam:Meloidogyne hapla strain VW9 Mh10g200708_Contig134, whole genome shotgun sequence.